UACGAAGGGGGCUAGCGUUGCUCGGAAUCACUGGGCGUAAAGCGCACGUAGGCGGAUCUUUAAGUCAGGGGUGAAAUCCCAAGGCUCAACCUUGGAACUGCCUUUGAUACUGGGGAUCUCGAGUCCGGAAGAGGCGAGUGGAACUGCGAGUGUAGAGGUGAAAUUCGUAGAUAUUCGCAAGAACACCAGUGGCGAAGGCGGCUCACUGGUCCGGUACUGACGCUGAGGUGCGAAAGCGUGGGGAGCAAACAGG
rnacentral:rRNA from 1 species